UCCCAGUUUCAGCUCUGCUGGGGCCAAAGCUGCUCCUGCCAUGGCACGGGGCCCACCAUGCCCACCAGCGCAGGUGGCAGCCGCCGCCAUUUUGUCAAACACCUGCUGGGGGAAACAGCAGCCACCAAAAUGGUGGGUGUCUCUGGGACAUAUAUUUCUCCUCAGAGGGCCCCUGGGACUUGCUGGUCUACUCCAAAACCAGGCUUACAGCUGCGGCUCAGUGGCAGCUGGCAGAGCUGAUUCGAGCACUGGAAUACCUUCCCCGCGUGCCUUUCUAUUGAAAAGCCAGGCUCAAGGGACCACGCUGACCACAUCACCUGUAGUAAAUGCCCUUCCAUCUUUUUAAGGCAGCCUCCUUGGAUCACUUGGGUCUGCGCCGCAGUUCUAGGAGGUGAGACUUGCAGCUGUCCUCCCCCUUUAUCACUGCCUAGCUGAUAACUGGGAGUCUGUCAGCUCCCAGUUAGCUUUGUAGCUUUCUAGGGGAACAGAUCAUUUCAGAAGUUGUUCCUCCUCAAAAUUAAUGUGUUCAUCUUAUAAACGCUUAUAAAUUUCACAGAAUGGCAUGUUUGCUCGUGCUGCUUUUUCACAUUACUAGCCUGAGUGCUCAAGCACUUAACACCGCCCUGUGGCUGAACAGCGAUGAGAAAUGCCACUGGUGACCUGAAGAACUGAGAGCAGCAGCCAGUACAGGUGCUGGGCUUGUCAGCAGGCCAGAGCUGCAACCGCUUGUCUCUUUUUUUUUUAGCUCAGCUAAAAAGAUGCCCCUUUCCAGGAAGGUUUCUCUCUGACUUCGCUGUGAAGCAGAGUUCCUGUCUGCCUAUGGCUAUGCAGAAAAGCCCGGUAGCUCUCAAAGUUUUGGUGACUUAAGUCUUACCAAUUUUUAAAAUCUAACUUUGCCUUCCGCUGCCCUAAACAUAAUUUUCAAUGACAUUUUUUAAACCAUCUUAGCUUAACCCUGGGAGUUCCAUGGUCAGGAUGAAACAGCUGUUCUGGUUCCUGCCAAGGGUGGGUGAAAUGGCAGCCACCAGCUCUGCCUCCCUGGCUGCCGGGCGUCUGGAAAGGCCGCAUCAGCACAGCGCUCGCAGACUGCUGCAGAAAGGAGCUGAGGGCAUCAGCUAUUAGUUGCCUGAUCCAUUUGAAUUCAGAAAGCACAUUCCUACUGUUCUGUUGUUGUUGUUGUUUGUUUUUUAAUGAGCUGUACACAAUUCUUGUUGACUGCUAUUCUCUAUUCAAGCACACCUGCUGGAUAAGCAGCAAAACUCCCCUUGCACAGGACCUGGGGCUAGAUGCAAAGGCCUUGCACUUGAACUGUGGUCACGGGCUGUUCUCAGCAUCACAGCCAGGAGCAGAGGUUGCUCGUGUUUAGCCCAGUACGUGAUAAGAACA